rnacentral:rRNA from 1 species
GGCUAACGCUGGCGGCGUGUCUUAGCCAUGCAAGUCGAGCGGACUUAUGGGGUAACUUAUAAGUCAGCGGCGGACGGCGGAGUAACACGUAGCUAACCUACCCUCUGGACGGGGAUAACCUACCGAAAGGUGGGCUAAUACCCGAUGUAGUCAUCCUGUAUAGGGGUGAUGAAAGGUGGGCUUCUGUUUACAAGCUCAUGCUGGAGGAGGGGGCUGCGGCCUAUCAGGUAGUUGGUAGGGUAAUAGCCUACCAAGCCGAUGACGGGUAGCCGGCCUGAGAGGGUGACCGGCCCGAGGGGCACUGAGAUACGGGUCCCACUCCUACGGGAGGCAGCAGGCUAGAAAUUUGGGCAAUGGGGGAAACCCUGACCCAGUGACGCCGCGUGCAGGAAGGAGCCCUUCGGGGUGUAAACUGCUGUCGUGUAGGGAGAAGGGUACUAAGGUGAACAAUCUUAGUACUUGACGGUACUACAGGAGGAAACCCAGGCUAACCUCGUGCCAGCAGCCGCGGUAAGAUAGCGUACU